rnacentral:rRNA from 1 species
GUCCUUUUGUUUUAUAUUUAAGGUCUAACCUGCCCACUGAAUAAUUUAAAUGGCCGCAGUAUUUUAACUGUGCAAAGGUAGCAUAAUCAUUAGUUUUUUAAUUAAAAGCUUGUAUGAAAGGUUGGACGAGGUAAAAACUGUCUUUAUUUAAUUAAUUAUAAAAUUUAAUUUUUAAGUUAAAAAGCUUAAAUUUUUUUAAAAGACGAGAAGACCCUAUAGAUCUUUAUAUUUAUUAUUUUAUUUUUAAUUAAGAUUUAUUUAAAUUUUAUUAUAUUAAAUAUUUUAUUGGGGUAAUAAGAAGAUUAAAAAAAUUCUUUUUUAUAUUAUUCAUUGAUUAAUGUUUUAAUGAUCCAAUUUUAUUGAUUAUAAGAUUAAGUUACCUUAGGGAUAACAGCGUAAUUUUUUUAGAGAGUUCAUAUCGAUAAGAAAGUUUGCGACCUCGAUGUUGGAUUAAAGAUUAAUUUAGGUGUAGAUGUUUAAAUUUUUGGUCUGUUCGACCAUUAAAUCUUUACAUGAUCUGAGUUCAGACCGGUGUAAGCCAGGUCGGUUUCUAUCUUUAAUAAUAUAAUAUAUUUUAGUACGAAAGGACCAAAUAUAUAAUAUAUAAAUAUUUAUUAAUUUUUGAAUAUUAUUAAUUAUUUUGGCAGAUUAGUGCAAUGAAUUUAGAAUUCAUAUAUGUAAAUUUUUACAAGUAAUACUUGUUUUAUAUAGAUGUAA